rnacentral:rRNA from 1 species
UGGUGCGAAUUCUCUUUGACUAGGGAUCCAAAGAGGGUGCUAGACCCUUACGCAUUGUUGACUUUUCGUACGCGUUCGUUUCUUGGAGUAGGGUUGUUUUGGAUCGCAGCCCAAAGUAGGUGGUAUACUUCAUCUAAAGCUAAAUACGACUACGAAUCCGAUAGCAAACAAGUACCGUGAGGGAAAGUUGCAAAGUACUUUGAAGAGAGAGUUCAAGAGGACGUGAAACCGGUAGGAUGGAAGCAGAUAAAGUUGACGAACGUGUGUCGUAUUCAGAACUACAAUUUGUGGUUUGUUUUUACGAUCGAUGUGGGCUGGCGUCUUUGGUUAACUUAGUGUCUGGCGGCAAUGGUGACCCUGCGGAGGGAUAAUCGGUUGUCGUGCGAUGCUUGGUAUGGCUAGAGGUUCGCUGGUCUUAUAGUCAUCGCUUUAUCUGACCCGUCUUGAAACACGGACCAAGGAGUGUAGCGCUUACGCGAGUCUUAGAGUGUGUCAAAACUUUGAGGCGUAACGAAAGUAAAUGUGGAUUUAUUCACUGACUUGGGAUGCGUUGUCUUUUUUGGAUAGCGUUGGACCAUGGUUUUAUCGUAAUCGCUUGCGAUGCG